CCGUGCGAAAAAAGUAAUGUAUAAUUGGGUCCCGUUCCCCGCUGCACACACUCCUUUAUCCGCCCCUCCUGCUGCACACACUUCUUUAUCACAAUGCCGCCUUCUGCUCAAUCUCCAAAUGCAAAUCGACUGCCGCUGCCGACGUCGACGCUGCGCCGCUGCCUGCGCCGUUGGCUUGAACAAAGAAAAUGCAAAAGGAGCGAACGGGCAGAACAAAGAGCGAACGAAGGAGAGGCGGCGGGAGCAGGAGAGAAGAGUGAGAGAGAGAGUGGGUGCAAAAGGGAAAUGCACUUGAAACGCAGACAACAAAGAGAUCCAAAUUGCGCCCUUCUGUUCAAUUAGUUAAUUAAUUAGCACUUUUGCCGGGGCAACUUGAUUAAUAUAAAGUAACAAGAAGUUCACUGAACCACACAGAAAAAAAAGGAGAUAAAAAAACGUAAACUCACUUGGCGAUUUCUUUGGCUCGCUUUACUCAAUUAUUUCGGCCGAAACAAACGGAUUUCUAUUCAAUUUAUUGCACCUUAAUGUUAGCUAUUUUGUUUACUUCUUGACCACUCUUCUUCUUCUAUUCACACGACAAAAAAAAAACGGACAAGCGAAAAGCAAAGCGCGCAGCGCGAAAUGCGGAUGGCAAAUGACGCUGCUUUUGGUACAAAACAAAAAAUCUGAAGCAGAGUGGCGCUGCCGAUGCCGGCAGCGACGGCGACUGCGACGCAGCAGGUGGCAGCAGAGUCGGCGAUAAAGGACAAAAUACAAAAAGAAUACAAACUAGAAAAGCUCAGAAAGCAACAAUUGAACGAAACGCAUAAUGCGUGCUCAAUGAACAAACAAAUUACGUGCAAUUUACAGUUGCAAUCAAGACAGAAGAAUACAGAAGAGCCGAACAAGGUGGGCAGGAGGAGGUGGGAAGAAAUGAAAAUAAGCAAGUCCUGACUUCAAACGUGGGUAGCAACAAUUACAGAAAGACUUUUGCCUACAUCUUACAUUUUAAUGUGUGCGACACUGUGCAGGCCACAAAUGUACAAACCACCAAACCAUAAUUAUAAAAUGACAUUCCGGUUUAUUAUGUUUCAAUAGUUACCAUGAA